UACCACUUUAUCUCUUUCUUUGUCCAAGCCAAUCUCUUCCCUCCCUUCCUUUUACAGUGCCAUCUUUUCUUCUUACUCAAUAUUAUCAAACCAAACCACAAAUCUAAUUAAGCGGUCUUGAUGCCAAAAUCUCUGCUCCUGGAGAAAUGCAUCAUGCAGCACAUCUAGGUGGAAAGUUUUUUUUGUGUGUGUGGAAGACCAACUCAGAGCAGUCCUGUGACAAAUCAUACACUGCUUUCUCUAUCCUCACAGUUCUGUAAGGUAAGUCAUGCUUAAAACUACCCCCCACCCUUUUUUUAAAAUAAGAAUACUGGGUCCCAGAGAGGGAAAC
rnacentral:lncRNA from 1 species